rnacentral:lncRNA from 1 species
GGGUGGGGUGGGGAUGGAUGGUUUAUCCAGAGUUGGACAGGCAAGGCAAGUAGAACAAAAGAGGGAGGUGCUGAUAUGAAAACUGCCUUGAGAUGGCUGGCAACAGGCUAGACAAAGAGGCAAGGAAUGUCAACUCACGCCUGGUGGUUCAGGAGAAUUGCUUCUCUUAAGGCCAACUCCUCUAAUCUCUAUCUUGGCUUCCAUUUUCACCUACCUUUGCAGGAAGCCUACACUAUUAGUAGUCUCUUUCUCUUGGGUAUUCAUCCUUUUAAAGCUUUCCCUUUGGCUUCUAAACAUACUUACUUUCUCAUAUUUAAAAUAAUGCUUCAUUAACACCAUUAACCUAUGUAUCUCCAUUUCUUUCACAGCUGUGUUAGUCUGUUUUCACAGUGGUAGAAAGAAAUACCCAAGACUGGGUAGUAUAUAAAGAGAAGAGGUUUAAUUGACUCACAGUUUCGAAUGACUUGGGAGGCCUCAGGAAAUUUACAAUUAUGGCAGAAGGUGAAGCAGGCAUGUCUUACAUUUGACAGCAGGCAAGAGGUGAAUUGCGAGCAUAGGAAAAACUGCCACUUUUAAGACCAUCAGAUCUGGUGUGACUCACUCACUAUCAGGAGGACAGCAUGGGGGAAACUGGCCUUCUAAUCCAAUCACCUCCCACCAACUUCCUCCCUUGACACAUAAGGAUUAUAAUUCAAGAGAAGAUUUGGGUGGGGACACAGAGCCCAACCAUAUCAACAGCCAUAUGAGAAGUCUUCAGAAAGUCCAUGGAAAAUGUGUAUUAUCAAGAAACUAUGCAUGGAUUGCAAAAUCUUUUUGAGGGCUGGGCGUGGCGACUCACCCCUGUAAUCCCAGCACUUUGGGAAGCUGAGACUGGUGGAUCACUUGAGGUCAGGAGUUCAAUACCAGCCUGGCCAACAUGGUGAAACCUCGUCUCUACUGAAAAACAGAAAAAUCAGCCAGGCAUGAUGGUUCACACUUGUGUUCUCAGCUCCUCAGGAGGCUGAGGGAGGAGAAUAGCUUGAACUCGGGAGGUGAGGUUGCAGUGAGCUGAGAUCGCACCACAGCACUCCAGCCUGGGUGACAGAGUGAGACUCCAUCUCAAAAAUAAAAUCUUUUUGCACCAAAACAAACUGGUACUAACGCGUUAUAAAAUGUCUCAACAGGAUCUAGUUUGAGUCAUUAAAAAGGAGAAGUCAUCAGUUUGAAAAGAGCUCCAAUCAGAGCAAAAUGAAUUCUGCUAAAAUUGAAGGAACAACAAACAUCAAAUUUAGGGUGAAGUUAGGGUGGAAGAAUGGUAAAAUCACUGAUGCUUUACCAAAAGUUUAUGGGGAUAAUGCACCUAAAUAAAUCAGCAGUUUAUAAAUAGUUAACUUGUAAGAAAGGACCAGACAAUGCUGAAGAUGAAGCCUGCAGCAGCAGGUUAUCCACAUCAAUUUGUGAGGAAAAAAAAUAAUCUUUGUGUCCUAAUUUGGAAGGACCAAUGAUUAACAGCAGAAACAACAGCCAUCACCAUAGACAUCACAACUGGUUCAGCUUACAGAAUUCUGAAUGAAUAAUUAAAAGUUGAGCAAACUUUCCACUUGAUGGGUGCCAAAACCAGAUCAGCUGCAAAGAACAGAGCUUUCAAUGGAAAUUGUAAACAAGUAGGAUCUAUUGGUUGCUACAAAAUUAAUUGCAGUUUUUGCCAUUGAAAGGAAUGUCAAAAACCACAAUUACUUUUGCCCCAACCAACAGAUCAUGAAGCAUCUAUUGGGAAAGUGUAACAGGACGUAAAACGUGGCUUUCCAACUAUGGAGACAAAGUACAAUUGAAGCAAUGGCUCCGAAGAGGUGGAAGUGGUCCAGUCCAAGCAAAAGUGGUCUGGUCAAGAGCAAAGGUCAUGGCAAUAGUUUUUUGAGCUGCUUGAGAAAUUUUGCUUGUUGACUUUCUGGAGGGCCAAAGAAAAAUAACAUCUGCUUAUUAUGAGAGUGUUUUGAGAAAGCCAAAGCUUUAGCAGAAAAAUGCCCAGGAAAACUUCACCAGAGAGUCCUUUUCUACCACAGCAAAGCUUCUGCUCCUACCUCUCAUCAAACGGGGGAAAUUUUGAGAGAGUUUCAAUGGGAAACCAGUAGGCAUUCACCCUACAGUCGGGGUUUAGCCCCUUCCAACUUCUUUUGGUUUCCUAAUGAUAAAACAUCUGUAAAGGGUACCAUUUUUUUUCCAGUUAAUAAUGUAAAUCCCCAGGAACGCCAGUUCUUUGGGGAUGGAUAAAAUGGCUAGUAUCUAAUUGCUGUGAGCAAAAGAAAAAAAAAA